UACGUAGGGUGCGAGCGUUGUCCGGAAUUACUGGGCGUAAAGGGCGCGCAGGCUGUGCUGCAAGUCAGCUGUGAAAUGUCUGGGCUUAACCCGGGCAUGCGGUUGAGACUGCAGUGCUGGAGUGCUGUAGAGGCAAGUGGAAUUCCCAGUGUAGCGGUGAAAUGCGUAGAUAUUGGGAAGAACACCGGUGGCGAAGGCGACUUGCUGGGCAGCAACUGACGCUGAGGCGCGAAAGCCAGGGGAG
rnacentral:rRNA from 1 species